rnacentral:lncRNA from 1 species
CAGGAAUCCCCACUGGGGAUUCCUGGUGGAGGGCUGUGAACUUGCUGAGGAUAUGAAGAUAUCUGAAGUCAAUCAAUCAGAUUGCAACAUGACACUUUUUAUCUUUUUAACCUAACUGCCAGCUGGAAACUUGGAAAUCCUCCCUCAGUUUUUGCUUAUUAUGGGAGACUGACUCAUGGACAUUAACUUGCUUCCAGCCCUUUCUAGCCCUACCCUCCCUGACUCAGCAUUUUAGUAUCACAAAGAAGUCCAGAAGUCAUGUCCUUGGUGACUGUUGAAGCUGAAGCACAAAGAAGUGAAGUGACUGACCCAACUAUCUAUAACCAGGAGCAGCAGAGCCUGGGUUACACAUCCAUUCACCCAUAGGUGCAUGCAUGAGACUCAUUCAACACACACUUAUUAGCAUCUACCAGGUUCCAGGCGAUAUGCUAACUCCUGGGGCUACAGAGUUAUAAUUAAGAUAGACCCUCUUCCUGCUCUGUUAACACUCAUGGUCCUGUAGAGAAGAUAGUCAUGAAAGGAAUUAUUUGCAUUUGUAAAAUGUGC